rnacentral:rRNA from 1 species
AGAGACAGCAGUAGCCACGGUAAUACGUAGGUCCCGAGCGUUGUCCGGAUUUAUUGGGCGUAAAGCGAGCGCAGGCGGUUAGAUAAGUCUGAAGUUAAAGGCUGUGGCUUAACCAUAGUACGCUUUGGAAACUGUUUAACUUGAGUGCAAGAGGGGAGAGUGGAAUUCCAUGUGUAGCGGUGAAAUGCGUAGAUAUAUGGAGGAACACCGGUGGCGAAAGCGGCCCUCUGGCUUGUAACUGACGCUGAGGCUCGUAAGCGUGGGGAGCAAACAGGAUUAGAGACCCGAGUAGUCCCUGUCUCUUAUACA